GCCAGGUGCGGAGACGUACACCUGUAAUCCCAGCAGCUUGGGAGGCUGAGGCAGGAGGAUUGUGAGUUCAAAACCAGCCUCAGCAACAGCAAGGCUUGCUAAGCAAACUCAGUGAGACCCUGUCUCUA
rnacentral:sRNA from 1 species